rnacentral:lncRNA from 1 species
AGUUAUCUUCAGGUUGGAGGGAUGAUCUCCACAUUACACAUGAAGAAACCGAGGCAGAGAGGGCUGGUGCUAUGGCUGAGGAGACGUACGCAGAAGGCUGUUGCAGGGUGAACUCCCUCCUCAAUGCUGAUGGUCUCAAGUCUGUGUCGCUGGAGUCUCAGAGCCGUACCUGUCACCUGGCCUUCUGCACCAGCACCUUCACUGUCUGAACCCUUGGCAGACACAGUGCUUCCUGCCUGACCGAACUCUGCUUGUCUCCACAGCGCCAGUCCCUCCACCCCCUAUGGAUACAAGGCCCUCUGUCCCCAUGUGUGUCUGACUUGAUCCACGGGCAGAAACCUAAACUACUCAGCGGGCUAGGCAGACGCUGUGCCCCCUAACGCGCCUCUGUCAAUGUUAUUUUGCGCUCCUUUACUUCUGAUAAAAGUCAAAAAGUGACCGUUAGGCAUUUUAUUAUUUGCAGAAUGUCUCCAAGCAAUCAUUUGUAUUAAAAGUGUGUAUAUUUCUAACACUCUCAUACUUCCAAAAGUAUGUAUUUUAAAAAAUC